rnacentral:tRNA from 4 species
UCAUUAGCUCAGUUGGUAGAGCACCUGACUCUUAAUCAGGGUGUCCGGGGUUCGAACCCCUGAUGA